UAGAGUUUCGCGCGGGAAGAUAGAGCGGUCCUGCCCUCAGCCACCAUCUUGUUUAAAACCCUGUCUCCGCCGUCUCCAGAGCAGUCGUCUACAAGCAAACCUAGAAAAAGUUCACUGUAAUGAAGAGUGGGGUAUCAGAUUUCACUGACGUUCUUUAAGUCCUAGGAGGUGUCCGCGAAGCCAGAAACAUGCUCUCCCUCGGAAUGAGUUUACCUGGCCCUCGUUCUAGGGAAAAAAGCUGCUGCUUUUCCUGAAAGGUUAUAAUCUUACCUCUCCAGUUCCAGGAUUUUCAGCACUACCUGUAUGCCUUCAUUGCUUCAGUAAGCUAAGUGGACAACAGAAUUGUGUAACAAGACAAGCAACUAAGCUGGGCUUGGAAUCUGGUUGUUUUGUUUGAGAUGUGACCUGCUAGAUGGAAACUGCAAACACUCGUUUGAAUGAAUACAUUUAUGUAGCAUAUAAUAUCAUCACCCCCAGCUCUUCCUACUCAGUUUUCUGUGUUUUAUGGCAUUUGCUUUGAGAGAGAGAAAACAACAACAACAGUCUUCCUGAGAGUAUUGUUUAAAAGUCCAAUUUCUGCUCUUGUCAAAGAUGUAUUACAUGACCCAACAAUUCCAGUCCUAGGUAUCUACCUCCCUCCAAAAUUAAAAACAGGUGGAAACAACCCAAACAUCCGUCAACAGAUGAAUGAGUAAAUUGUGGCAUGUGUGUGUAAUGGACUAUGAAUCGCCAAAAGGAAUGAAGUGUUAAUGCAUGCUCCAGCUCGAUGAACUUUGAAAACAUUUUGCUAAGAAGCCAAAAAAGGUCACAUGCUUUAUGCUUUCAUUGAUAAGAGAUAUUCAGAGUAGGUAAGUACAUAGAAACAAAAAGCAGACUGGCGGCUUCUCUUGCGAAAAAGUGAGUUAAAGAUGCGGCACCGUCCCUGUAGGGACUCAGGUCGCUGCUGUGGUGUGAGUUGGAUCCUUGGCCAGGGAACUUCCACAUGCCGCGGAUGCAGCCAAAAAGGG
rnacentral:lncRNA from 1 species